GGAGCUUAGAGAGCUUGCUUUUUAAGCUUAGUGGCGAACGGGUGAGUAACGCGUGAGUAACCUGCCCUAGAGUGGGGGACAACAGUUGGAAACGACUGCUAAUACCGCAUAAGCCCACGGUACCGCAUGGUACUGAGGGAAAAGGAUUUAUUCGCUUUAGGAUGGACUCGCGUCCAAUUAGCUAGUUGGUGAGGUAACGGCCCACCAAGGCGACGAUUGGUAGCCGGACUGAGAGGUUGAACGGCCACAUUGGGACUGAGACACGGCCCAGACUCCUACGGGAGGCAGCAGUGGGGGAUAUUGCACAAUGGGGGAAACCCUGAUGCAGCGACGCCGCGUGGAGGAAGAAGGUUUUCGGAUUGUAAACUCCUGUCGUUAGGGACGAUAAUGACGGUACCUAACAAGAAAGCACCGGCUAACUACGUGCCAGCAGCCGCGGUAAAACGUAGGGUGCAAGCGUUGUCCGGAAUUACUGGGUGUAAAGGGAGCGCAGGCGGGAAGACAAGUUGGAAGUGAAAACCAUGGGCUCAACCCAUGAAUUGCUUUCAAAACUGUUUUUCUUGAGUAGUGCAGAGGUAGAUGGAAUUCCCGGUGUAGCGGUGGAAUGCGUUAGAUAUCGGGAGGAACACCAGUGGCGAAGGCGG
rnacentral:rRNA from 1 species